UCUGGGUGUGGUGGCACAUGCCAACAGUCCCAGCUACUUGGGAGGCUGUGGCAAGAGGAUCACUUGAGCCCAAGAGUCUGAGGGCAGCCUGAGCAACAUAGUGACACCUUGUUUCAA
rnacentral:sRNA from 1 species